CAAGAGAUAGUUUAAUUAAAAAUAUUAAUUUUGGAAAUUAAUGAUAAAGAGUUUCUUUUCUCUUGA
rnacentral:tRNA from 1 species